AACGAACGCUGGCGGCAUGCCUAACACAUGCAAGUCGAACGAGACCUUCGGGUCUAGUGGCGCACGGGUGCGUAACGCGUGGGAACCUGCCCUUAGGUUCGGAAUAACUCCCCGAAAGGGGUGCUAAUACCGGAUAAUGUCUUCGGACCAAAGAUUUAUCGCCUUUGGAUGGGCCCGCGUUGGAUUAGCUAGUUGGUAGGGUAAAAGCCUACCAAGGCGACGAUCCAUAGCUGGUCUGAGAGGAUGAUCAGCCACACUGGGACUGAGACACGGCCCAGACUCCUACGGGAAGGAGCAGUGGGGAAUAUUGGACAAGGGGCGAAAGCCUGAUCCAGCAAUGCCGCGUGAGUGAUGAAGGCCUUAGGGUUGUAAAGCUCUUUUACCCGGGAUGAUAAUGACAGUACCGGGAGAAUAAGCUCCGGCUAACUCCGUG
rnacentral:rRNA from 1 species